UUUAGAACUGAAGGAAUAAUUUUUGUUACAUUAUAUAUUUAAUUCCCUCGACUUAGCUAAUUCAUAUAUUUGCUUCUUCAUAUUUUGACUGAUCAUUUUAAUAAAAAAUUCUGAUUCUACCACUGAAUUAAAAUGACAAACAACAUCAUGAAGAAAAGGUUGACUUUCAUAUGCAUACACGCAUAGAAUACGACUUGGAAGAUAAUCCUCGUACGUUAUUCUGACCCUACCCUAUAUAUAUUUAUUGUAGAGCAACCAAACUUAUUUGUCUCAAAAAUCAGUAACCAUAUUGAGAAAAUGAGGAGAAUUCACAAGACUUUGUGGUUUAUUUUGAUGAUGAUUAUGUGUUUUAUGGUGAUGAUCAAUGGGCAAAGGAUAGGUCCAAGAGAAUGUCAAUUGGAGCAGAAACAAGUGGUACAUUAUUGUAGAUGGAUAGCAUUUGGGCAACCACCAUCGCCCAAUUGUUGCCGCCUAUUGAAACCAGCUCACUUAGAGUGUGUUUGCCAAUUGAUUGGAAAGCAAAGGAAGAUUUCCACAAUUCUUGAUGUCUCUCAAGUUAUAUUGCUCUUUCAGUUUUGUGGAAGGAUUGUCCCUCGUCAUUUCAAGUGUGGAAGUCUGAAUUUCCCUUGAGGGGAGGGCUGGCGUCUUUGUUUGUCAUGGAGAAGUCAAUGCACUUGAUAUCUAAUAUUUUAUAUUUCCUUCUUUUCUUUAGUAUAAGUCUACUUAGUUUGAACUUUGAAGUGAUUUUGGACAUGAAGACCAGAUCAACCUAAGCUUGAAAAUAAAAAAGUAUCUAUGUUGUAUUGAUAGAUCAUCUAUCGGAAAUUGAUUUAUAUAUCUAUUCCACGAAGGUAGAAGUAAGGCUUGCGUCUAUCCUAUUCUUCUUAUACCUCACUUAUGGGAUUACAAUAAAUGUUAUAUUGAUAGAUUUUGUUGAGUUC